rnacentral:rRNA from 1 species
AACGAACGCUGGCGGCGUGGAUAAGACAUGCAAGUCGAACGCGUAAUUUUCUUUCUAGCAAUAGUUGGAAAGUUUGAGUGGCGAAAGGGUGCGUAACACGUGGGCAAUCUACCUUCAUGUGGGGGAUAACCCCGAGAAAUCGGGGCUAAUACCGCAUGUGGUUGAGGGUCUUAUGACCUGAAAACCAAAGCUGGGGAUCGCAAGACCUGGCGCAAGAAGUGGAGCCCGCGGCCUAUCAGCUAGUUGGUGAGGUAACGGCUCACCAAGGCUUACGGGUAGCUGGUCUGAGAGGACGACCAGCCACACUGGGACUGAGACACGGCCCAGACACCUACGGGUGGCAGCAGUCGAGUAAUUUUUCUCAAUGGGGGAAACCCUGAAGGAGCGACGCCGCGGUGGGGAU